rnacentral:rRNA from 1 species
AUUGAACGCUGGCGGCAUGCUUUACACAUGCAAGUCGAACGGUAACAGGGAGCUUGCUCCGCUGACGAGUGGCGAACGGGUGAGUAAUAUAUCGGAACGUACCCAAGAGUGGGGGAUAACGUAGCGAAAGUUACGCUAAUACCGCAUACGAUCUAAGGAUGAAAGCAGGGGAUCUUCGGACCUUGUGCUCCUGGAGCGGCCGAUAUCUGAUUAGCUAGUUGGUGAGGUAAAGGCUCACCAAGGCGACGAUCAGUAGCUGGUCUGAGAGGACGACCAGCCACACUGGAACUGAGACACGGUCCAGACUCCUACGGGAGGCAGCAGUGGGGAAUUUUGGACAAUGGGCGCAAGCCUGAUCCAGCAAUGCCGCGUGAGUGAAGAAGGCCUUCGGGUUGUAAAGCUCUUUUGUCAAGGAAGAAACGGGAGUGGCUAAUAUCCAUUCCUAAUGACGGUACCUGAAGAAUAAGCACCGGCUAACUACGUGCCAGCCGCCGCAGUAAGAC